AUGGGGUUAAUGGUUGAAUUUUACUUUGGCUGGACCCUGACUCCAAUAUCAUUUUUCUAUUUACCUCACCUUUGAAGUCGCAAUAACUUUGUAUACUCUUCCAAGUAACCAAUCCUUUGCUCUGAUUCAGAUCCUUGUUCUGUAAAUUUAUGGAAAUUUGAGUUCAUUUUUAAUUCGGAUUCGUUGAUUCAGGAUCUUUGUCUUUGACUUUCGCUUCCAAUUCGGUUUCUGAGGGCUUUUGUCUUCGUGUUGCUUAUCAGGUUUGCUUAAUAUGGGCGUAGUGUGAUAGUUCUUGUUGCAAUUUUACUUUCUUGUAUGGUUGUCAAGAACAUUUGGAGAAAGAAAUUUGGUAUUUUCAGUUAUGCUUCAUGAUUUGAGUAAAGAAAUGAAUUCUGGAAAUGACAAUUUUUGGUUGGGUUGAAGUCCUAAAGAAGUAACAAGAGACGAGGCAGUUUGCGUUGUUGGCAUAGGAGGCAGACUGGCAGAAUCAACUGGGCUUUAGAGCAAGCCUUCAAUUUGAAGCCUGAUUGCAGUGAGAUUGGGGAUGAUUUCGUUGUUUUUCGAAGACUGGUGAUGGAAUGAUGCUCAG
rnacentral:lncRNA from 1 species